ACCUCAGACUAAAGCAUCUGAUCAGAAUUUUGUGUGGUGUUAUGAGUGGAAAGGAAGAGUUGUUUGGAGCUUGUCUGGCUCUGCCUCUGCGUUUGACUCCCUUCUGUCGUUCUGCUCGUGCCGAAUUUCACUCCUCAUUUUAAUCGUGUCGCUGAUUGCAGCACUGAAGCAGCCGCACUACACCCCGUAAUUACUCGAGGGGAGUCAUCGGGAUGCAAAAACCACUCAGAGCUCUCCCGAGGUUAUCACCGCAACUUUUCCUGCUGUCCCAAAUUCACCGGGCCAGUGAAAUGCAGGAAAUGUUCCUUAUUUGACAGAAUAGCGGCACCCUGUGGCUCCUGCUCGACUUUGCUUUGAAAUAUUUAAAAUCCCUCCAACUUCUUCUCUUGCAUGCUGUUUAUGAUUAUAACACAAGCUAAGAGUUAUUUUAGCCCACGAAAGGUAACAGAUUUCUUUUUAAAGACCUUGAUGCUCUGCAUACGAGAACAGCACAAAGCCAUCUCUGAGGUAUUUACAGGUAAUUACACGUCCUACAGUAUGGAUUAAAACUAGUCAAACUGACCUGGACCUCAAGAAGUGCCUUGGUAAUCAGAUUAUGCAGAAAAAUGAGAGCAAACUGUGAAGAUACCUGACUUGCUUUAAAAUUACCACACUGGAUCUGUAGCAGACUUCUCCAUGAGACAGGAAUGUCUGCUUUGGAGUGUAUUUUGGAAGCCAUCCUCUUGCUUUAAUCCAGAGCCCUCUGAACUGUGCACUGCAAACACAGGGGAGAGCAGUUUCAGUCUAAAAUCUGGCUGCCACUGCAGCUCCUGGAGCUAAAAAUCCACACAGAGGUGUACAGGUACCAAUGUGAACAGCAGCAGAGGACAGCUGUGCUAAGCACAGGCACAUCUGGCAAAACCUCAGAGUUCCAGCAGCAUCUCCACGUUUUCCCUGCAAUCCUAUUUCCACAAGCUCUGAGAUAAAGCAAAGCUGUGGCAGCGAAUAACCUGUGGCACCUAACUGAACUUCAGGCUACUGAAUUACGGUGGAAGCAGUGUGGCAGUAUUUCCUACUUCUGCUUUUCCAGCAUGGCAGGCAUUCCUAGUCUUUCAGAUUUUCAGCUCUGCCAGAAAAUGUAGCUGCUAAUACACACCAGUUGUGUUAAAUUGGAAGAACAUCCCCUUAAGUGCUUAAGCUGAAUUCUGAAUGCAAAAGAAGCAAUCCCAAACCCCAAUUAUCUUUUGAAAAAGUAAAUAAGAAAGCACUAAAUCCUUGGGGGAGGGGGUGGUUGGGUGGUUGGUAAAUCCUCCACCCUUUUAAAUGCUAAAGGAUGUUAUAUUUGAACUGUGAGCUAAACACAUGAGGGAUCUCUGAUUAUUCCCAGCACAGCUGGCAGGGCAGCAUUUGGUGCCAGGUCGGUGUAAUAAGGAAUGGAGUGCUUUUUUUGUGGAACACGCUUAUAUUUCUUGUAACUUGUUACAAUUUUUAAGUUCUGUAAUUGUUCAUGCAUUUUUGCCACCAUGAGUACACCCUCCUCAAACAUCUCCUCCAGGAAAGCGGAUUGCUGAGGUCCAGAUCUGGAUUUUUAAGUCCAGAAGUUUAAUUCCUGCUUUUGUAGUUUAUUUAUUUUCUAGAUGCCUGAAAUGACACAAUUCAGGUUGAGGAAGAACCAGAUAUGGUGUGAUAUGUGGAAACUGUCAUAGAGUCAUCAGGAGGUAGAGACAGUUUCUGCCAGCACACAGAACACUGCCCAGGAGGCACAGGAGGGUUUUCCACAUUAACUGAGGUGGCAGAGGUUGGUUUUAAGUCUUACCAUGAGCCCUGUGUUUUAUAACUUGGUAACUGUUUGAUCUCUGGCACAAACUAUUUGUCUCUCUUUAGUCUGUACAAAACUGCCAGUUAUAUGGGAACUGCAAAAUUCCACAAAUAGAGACCUUGGUUAGAAAAUCAGACUGCAGUCUGCUCUUUUAACUGCAGAGGUUUAGCAAAAUUACACUCCUAGGUAGUAAGUGCAAGAACAUUUCUCUCAGUUCCAGAAUUACUCUGCAUUUUUGCCAGCUGUGGAAUUGAAGCUAGUGAAAAGCUGCUUUUCUGCAAUGGUCAAUACUCACUGUAAUAUUAUACAUGUAGUCUUUUAAUUUUUAAUAUAUAAGUCUUUUAAUAUUAUACACGUAGUCAUUACUUUUGUACUACUUUUGCACAUUGCAACUACGUUUAGCUUGAUUUAAAAUAAUGUUUUAGAAAUGUGCUUUUAGCAGACUGGAUGUUUUAUGAAUAAAAACGCCCUGUACUGGGGUGUUUGUCAUGAAGGAAGGAAGAAAGAAAGAAAGAAAGAAGAAGGAAAGAAAGAAGAAGAAGAAAAGGCUGUGGCUCCUGCUGCUGCUGCUCAGGACAUUGGACUCUGUGCCAGGGAACAACUGCUGCUGCUGCUGCUGCUGUUCCUGCACAGAACCUGGGGCUCCAUGCCAGGGGCUCUAUGCCAGAGAGCAGCUGUUGCAGCUGCAGCUUUUGCUCCAUAUCAGAAAAUUUUUAGCAUGGACUUUAUUACUUAGAACUCUUUCUCUUCUAAACUGAUGUAUUCAUGCAAUAAACA